UUUGACCAACAGAAUUGAAGUCAAAUUGAUAAGAGCAACCUUUGUUCUACCCUCAAAUGGCUUGGGUGAUGCUACCUUCCCUUUGUCCUCAUCCACAGGGCACAGCAGAGGAAUUAGCAUCCCCUGAAGCUCUAAACUGGCUUCACAUUCUCUUUCUGUUUGAACUUCCAACCCAAGACUACAUGCAGCAGGACUCCACUAACAUCACCCCACCGCCACCUCCAACAGAUCAGUGCUCUCAUUCUAGUGGUAAUAAUUAG
rnacentral:lncRNA from 1 species